AUUGAACGCUGGCGGCAGGCCUAACACAUGCAAGUCGAGCGAGCGGCGGAUGGGUGAGUAAUGUCUGGGAAACUGCCUGAUGGAGGGGGCUAACUAAUGGAGACGGUAGUUAAUACCGCAUACCAUCAGAUGUGCCCAGAUCGGAUUAGCUAGUUGGUGGGGUAACGGCUCACCUAGGCGACGGUCCCUAGCUGGUCUGAGAGGAUGACCAGCCACACUGGAACUGAGACACGGUCCAGACUCCUACGGGAGGCAGCAGUGGGGAAUAUUGGACAAUGGGCGCAAGCCUGAUGCAGCCAUGCCGCGUGUGUGAAGAAGGCCUUCGGGUUGUAAAGCACUUUCAGCGGGGAGGCGUUACCCGCAGAAGAAGCACCGGCUAACUCCGUGCCAGCAGCCGCGGUAAUUC
rnacentral:rRNA from 1 species